rnacentral:rRNA from 1 species
AGAGUUUGAUCCUGGCUCAGGACGAACGCUGGCGGCGUGCUUCACACAUGCAAGUCGAACGAGGUUCUUUGAACCUAGUGGCGAACGGGUGAGUAUCACGUGAGCAACCUGUCCCGGAGACUGGGAUAACAGUGGGAAACCGCUGCUAAUACCGGAUGUACCUGCCCGGCUGCAUGGCUGGGCUGGGAAAUGCUUUUGCG